rnacentral:rRNA from 1 species
CCCUUAGAUGUUCUGAACCGCACGCGUGUUACACUGAUGCAUUCAACGAGCUUUACCUUGGCCGAGAGGCCUGGGAAAUCUUUUUAGCAUGCAUCGUGAUAGGGAUUGAUUAUUGCAAUUAUUAAUCAUGAACGAGGAAUUCCUAGUAAACGCAUUUCAUCAAAAUGCAUUGAUUACGUCCCUGCCCUUUGUACACACCGCCCGUCGCACCUACCGAUUGAGUGGUCCGGUGAAGUCUCGAGAUUGUGGCAAUCUCCUUUAUUGGAGUUUGACCGCGAGAACUUGUCUAAACCUUAUCAUCUAGAGGAAGGUGAAGUCGUAACA